rnacentral:lncRNA from 1 species
CAUCCUCUUCUUCAAUCCUGAAACCCAUUUCCGCCGCCUUGUCCCUCCGCCGCCCUCUCUCCUCCGACACCACCCUCACCAUCGAGACCUCCAUUCCAUUUACCGCCCACAACUGUGACGCGCCCUCACGCGCCGUCGAAACCUCCCCCUCCGAGCUUCUCACCUUCUACCGUGACAUGGCCGUCAUGCGCCGUAUGGAGAUCGCCGCCGACUCUCUCUACAAGUCGAAGCUCAUUCGCGGCUUCUGCCACCUUUACGAUGGCCAGGAAGCCGUGGCUAUUGGUAUGGAAGCUGCUAUCAAUAAGAAGGAUUGCAUCAUCACUGCCUACCGUGAUCAUUGCAUCUUCCUUGGCCGCGGCGGAAACCUCGUCGAGGUCUUCGCCGAGCUCAUGGGCCGAAAAGAUGGCUGCUCCAAAGGUAUUAGUACCAUAUUUAGUUAUGAAUGUGGUUUAAGCUUAGUUAGGUAGUGUUUCACAUGCCAACAAAAUACAAUCAAACAUGAUGAAAUAGUAAGUGUUAUUGCAUUACACAUUAGUAGAGUGGCUUUGUUCUGUUUUAUUUAGGCUCUGUUCUGUAAAACUAGCUUAUAGUUGUGAUGAUGGCUUAUAUAGCUAUGAAACUAGCUGAAAGAUUAUGUGUUUAUAGCUGGUUGAUUGAAUUAGAGUUGUAUGGCAAAACUAGUUUUACGAAAGUUUAAAUUUGUUAAUUGAUUUAGAAGGAUGGGUAAAUAUUAGGUUGGGGAUGAAAAAUGUCACUUACUGAAAGAUUAAAGGGCAAAACGUGAUGCGUGAAUUGUUGGAAGCUCUUGUAGUUUUUGAGAAGUCACUUGAAGUAGGUUUUCAAAAGUUUUAAUCUCCUUUCAUUUUUAUACAUACUAGUAUUAUAAAGUGGGGGCAGUUUCUACACACAGUAUAUAGUAUUAUGAAAAACUAAAAUCCUUCAAGGCACAAUGUAGGUCAGUGCCUGAAUGAAACUGUAUGUCAUUUUCCGUCUAGUUAUCACAUGUAUAUCAAAUGCCACCUUGGUGGUAGUAGAUUAGUUCACUGUUGUUUCCUAGUCAUUUAUUAUCUCUUGAUUUAUGUAAUUCACUUGAUUAGAUUGUUUUACACACUUUCAUUAUUCAGUUAUAAUUCGAUUUCUCAUUUGUACCAUUUUUCAUACAUAUUAUGUGCAUUCACAUUAUUAAGAACAUACAUGUUACCCUUACAUUUAUAAUGUUAAGAAGAAACAUGUGAAUAUUUAAUCAAUUAAUUCAAAACUUUGUAACAUCUACUAUCUAAUAAUUGAUAUGAGGCUACAAUUCUUAAAAUCAUUCUGACUACAUGUGAGAUUACAACUAAUGAUAACGAAGGAAUCUUGUAAGGUAUAGUUUUCAAAGCUAGGAAUUUAGUUGAGCAGAGUUUUGGAUAUUAUGUUAGUAGCAAUGUUAUGCUGGUUGCUAAGCAGAAAGGUCUCAUCCAUAGGUAUUAUUAUCUCAUUUAAAGUUGAUAUGUGUAAAUAAAUUUUUAAAUGUUUUAUCACUGCAUGGAAAUGCAUUUGAUGAAAAAAGUAGGCAUGGAAAUGAGAACUUGUAGGGAAAUUGACAUCAGAAUAUAAGAUUGCUAUUUAAGAAAUCACAAGUACUAAAGGAGCCGCCAAUCCCAUGCUAACACCAUGCAAUAACUGAAUUUAAUAUUUUUGUAUGAUACAUCUUCUACUAUCAAGUAAAUUAGUGUUAAUCAUAAUUGAUUCUUAUAUAAAAGUAAACAUAUGAAUGACCUAUGUAGAAAAUAUUUCAUGGAAAAGUAUUUCAUUAUCUAGUAUUUCAUAAUGAAUAUAAAGAUUUAUACAUACGUACUUCAUUAUCUAUCACUUAUUUAGAUUACAUUUUCUAAAAAAUCAAGUAUAAUUAAAUAUAAUGAAUGAUAUAAUAACACUAUAUAAAACUCGUAUAAGGUCGUAUAUACAUUUUUUUUUUCCUCUUUCACAAUAUAAAAAAAUCUUAUAUAAAAGUGAAUAUAUGACCGAAAACAUCACACCUUUUGAAAAAGUAUUCCACUAUUUGCGGUUUCCCCCAACUUGCUCAAUACCAAUAGUUAUAAUCAAAGGCACUCAAGUGGUGGCAACAAAAUGACACAUAAAUUAAGGUCAUUAACAUUCUUCAAACACUAUUACCUCAUUUCUAUUUAAUUAUUUAUAGUUGUCGUUGCAAAAGAAAAUAUCUUUUAUGUUGAUGAGGAUGACUUUUAUUUUGUUUUUUCCUAGUGGUGGUUAAUUUUCCCCCACUAUUCACAUAAUAAAAAAUUUAAAUAUAUAAAAUAAAAAUUAAGACAUUCUUAAAUUUCUUAUCUUAUUAUAAAAGAAAAAGAAUCAUUCAAAUAAAAACGUUUUUUUGGUUUUCAAUCUCAUCUAACCCUUCAACCUUGAUCUUCCUUUCUCUGUUUCUCUCUCAAUUCCAAUUCCCAAAUUCGAAUCCCUAACAAAUCAACAUGGCUCUAUCACGCAUAGCAUCUUCAUCAUCCUCUUCUUCAAUCCUGAAACCCAUUUCCGCCGCCUUGUCCCUCCGCCGCCCUCUCUCCUCCGACACCACCCUCACCAUCGAGACCUCCAUUCCAUUUACCGCCCACAACUGUGACGCGCCCUCACGCGCCGUCGAAACCUCCCCCUCCGAGCUUCUCACCUUCUACCGUGACAUGGCCGUCAUGCGCCGUAUGGAGAUCGCCGCCGACUCUCUCUACAAGUCGAAGCUCAUUCGCGGCUUCUGCCAC